rnacentral:lncRNA from 1 species
GUAGUUUUCGAGUAAAAAAUUCGCGAAAAUUUCGCGGAUUUUCAACUUUGACCCCCCCGCCACUUCCCCCCCAAAAUUUUUUGGGGACUUGAAACUUUUGGAAAACAUAGGGCAUUGUUAGAUGAAUGAAUAGGGCAAGAGUCAAUGGUAUGUGACACGAGCGUGAAAUGACCCGUUUUGCACGUACCCCUUUGGUUGCUUCACAAAGUCUGUCACCUUAUAAUUAAUGGUGAUUUAAUUUCCCUACCAAUUUUGUAGUGAUCCGCUAAAGGAAACCACUUCUACAGACCUUGCUUUAAAAAAUAUUGGUAACAAGUGUAACAGGCAGUAUCCUCGAAGGUCAACCAGAACUUCCCCUCCGAUCAAAAUUCACUGCUAAUUUUGAAUCUUACAAGUUUCCACAGGGAAAAUCGAAGCAGAAAUGUCGGUACUCUCUAACAGACUUGACUAAAGCACAGAAAGCAAGGAAUCCACUAAAGUUGCAAUCCAUCAGUGAUCUUGAAAACAUACAUUGGCACCUCUCAUCUCGAGCCUUUAACUUCGUUUUUGCGAAGAGAAUUAGCAUCAAAAUACUGAGUGAAAAUAAUCCUCCAUCCAAAAUUCUGUAAUGUAAAAAUCCUGCGUUAUAAACAUAGUUUUACUUCUUGUCAGAUCAUAUUGAGUUUCAGCUGCUUGUCAACACAUGGAAUUUUUGUAAAAAACAAAUUGGCUCAAAUUUUAUCGGUGGGUGAUUUUUGGUACUUCCUGUGUUUAAUGGAAAUGAGCUUCCCAACCACAAAGUCUUCUAUUUGUUUUUGGGUCUUUUAUUUUUUUUCUGGAAUGUUUGAAUAAGUUUCUGUACAGCCGGACAGCAACUACCUGAAGUUCGUUUAUAUUAGUGAACUCCAGAUCUUACUCAUCACAAGUUAUUAUCUUUUCUCACCGACCCUAAGUUUCCUGCACCGUUGCCUUGCCCACUUCCUCAUCGCAAGAUUUAGAAAAGACAGGAUUUUUAACGCAUUGAAUUUAGGUGCAAGUGAUUUUGGCCGCGGGCUCAUGUGAGCACACUUUUACAAAGACUUGCAGUAAUCCAAAUCUGUUACUUCUCAUGACAGACUCAAGGGUUACCUUUAACUUGAAUGUAACUUAAUUUAAUUAAUGUACAUACUUCAUUUGAGAUAUGUGACACAAAAUUGAAAAUGAUUGUAUCAAUCUAUGUGUAUUUAAAUCUUUUUAAUUAAAUGAUACGCAAGACUAUUUUCAUCUAAUUUCUUUCUCCAAGUUGUUACAUAAAGAUGUCUGUUCUUAUUAUCUCCAAAUCAUGAUUUUUCAUUAUCAUGUAUGCGCUUGAAAAUACUAUUUAGAUAUCAAGAGUGGCGGUAGCCACCCCCGGUUGAGAAAAAUGACGUCCUACUAAAGUCCCGAUAGCAAAGGGGUGGCCGACACUCUUAGUCACACGUAACUCCCUUAAUCUGAAAAUUGAUUCAGUUCCCAUUCGACUGCAGCCCAAACGACGGCACGGAUUCCUACGAUCUUGGUGUCUACGGACGCAUCUCAAUUAGGACUAUAAAGUGGAAGAGUUUCAUUGAGAUCCAUUGAGUUUUCAAAAAGUUAUAAGUACUUAGUGACCCAAAACGACGAAAAUUUUACUUUACAUGGGGCCGUUUGGCGGGCAAUUUGAAUUUCAGGAUCUUCAGAAAGUUACUCUGAUUCCGCGAUAACGGUAUACCCUAGACCCGUAAAAAGGGGUACCUAACGAAUCAUCAUAUUACCGUGUGUGCCGCUUUCUACUUUAUUUUAACAUUUCAAGUGUUUUAGAAGAGAAAUUACGUAA